GUGCUCUACACUGACGGCUGUCAUCGACGUGCCACGGAAUUUGGUGAAACUCCAAAACGGUCGCGCCACUGUCCACAGUCAGACCCGAGGCCCGUCAUCCCCCACGGGGACGCGUUAAUCCCCGGAAGGAGUCGAUUGUGUCCCACCCGCAGCCGACGCGCAGCCGCACCAGGUCGGUC
rnacentral:ncRNA from 2 species